CACCUGAAUUUUAUGGUUUAGACAUCAACUUCUUGCCUAGCCAAAAAAACAUUUUGUGACACAAGGAAAUACUUGAAGAUUUCAAUGAAUUUUUUUAAGACACCAUAUAAUAUGUUUAUGAUGCAAGUUUUAAGUAUGAAUAUGAUGAAUUGAGGGCUUUAUUCUAACCUACAUGAGAAUUAACAGUGUUAAUGGUUGUUGAAAAAUGCAUAUAGAAAUAGUGAGAACAGUAAAUCUAUAUGAGUCAGAAUGUAGAUGGUAUAAACUUUUGUAAUAUAAAAAGUUUUAGGUGUGGUAUGAUUUCAUUAUGACUGUUUUGGUCUUUAAAUUAUUUAGAGAAACUAGCAUAGGAGCUCAUGUUGAUGCUUGCUCAGGAGCUAAUCUUGAAGUAUAUUUUCCUUUCUCUAUACUUCUUGGUUAUGUUUGGUCUGGUCAGAGAUUACUAGUGGUGGAGUUGCUAUCCAUUGGUUGUGAAGGAAAAGUGGUUAAUGGGUACAUUGUUCAGAUGAGCUUUAUCCUGGAGAAUUUGAUGAUUUGAGUAUGUGCAACUUGUUAUCUGGAGAAACGUGUGAGCCAGUCCAUCCAAGACUCCAGAUCCAGAAAUCUAAUAUACUUGCUUUGCCAUCUAACUAACAGCCAAACCAAGAUGUUAUGCAGGCUUAUCAAACAACCUGGCUUGCAGAGGUGAACAUAGAUACCGAUAGGGUGGAUGAAAUAUUUGCUGUAACAGGGGAGGAAAUACAUGUUAAAAUAGAUAUCAAACAGAGAUUUGGAGGCUGCAGGGCCCUAAGUUUUGAUGAUAUGCCUAGAGACAUUAUAAAGAGGGAGAGAGUGUCUCCAAGUACUUGAUUCAAACAACUUAUUGCAAAAGUGCCAGACCAGAGAAAAUGGAAGAACCAUAUACUACUUAAGAAAUUUUCUCCAGUCAGUGCAAAUGUUCUUAGUUCUGGUGGUGAUUUGCUUGCAUGAGAACUGAUGCUCACUUUAAAUGAGAGAGUAUUUAUUGUACAUUAUUUGUCCCAUCGAUGCACGAGGGUAUAUUAAGAUUGAACUUUUGUCAUUUGUGUAGAAAUGCAUUAUUGUAGUAAAUUUAAUGCAUUGGUGUAAUAAACGAUGUAAUGCAUUAUUGUAAUAAAUGUACUAGAAUGUAAAUGUACCAAACUGUACAUGUAAUGCAGAAAAUGUAAUGCAUCAUGCAGAAUAUAAUUUGGUGAUUGAAGGCAGGUUGGCGCAGACCGACUCAGAUCUUUCCAUUCCAA